AAGGGAAAGCGUUGGAUUGGCUGAGAUCAUCAAAUAUCAUGAACGCAGGCAAGAAGGCAGGGUGAGGAUGAGGCCAGCCACGAGGAGACCUGAACAGUGCUGGAAAUAGGUGAGUAAAUCACCUUUUUAAUAGGAACAGGGAAAGUGGGGGCGAACACCUAAAUGGCACAUUUAGGCCUAUAUUGUCAGAAAUACACAUUUGUAUUCCUGACACUAGUGUUCCUUUAAGUCCC